GCUUACGGCCAUACCACCCUGAACACGCCGAUCUCGUCAGAUCUCGGAAGCUAAGCAGGGUCGGGCUGGUUAGUAUUGGAUGGGAGACGCCUGGGAAUACCAGGUGCUGUAAGCU
rnacentral:rRNA from 1 species